rnacentral:rRNA from 1 species
UACGUAGGUGGCAAGCGUUGUCCGGAAUUAUUGGGCGUAAAGCGCUCGCAGGCGGUCUUUUAAGUCUGAUGUGAAAUCUCGUGGCUUAACCACGAACGGUCAUUGGAAACUGGAGGACUUGAGUACAGAAGAGGAGAGUGGAAUUCCACGUGUAGCGGUGAAAUGCGUAGAGAUGUGGAGGAACGCCAGUGGCGAAGGCGACUCUCUGGUCUGUAACUGACGCUGAGGAGCGAAAGCGUGGGGAGCGAACAGG